AAAAUUCUUUAGAAAAUUUUUUAAUCCGAAUUUUUUUGUUUUGGAUGCAAAUUUUUUUACUCUAGUCUUUCUUUUGUUUUGGAUAAAAAAAUUAUCUGAGUUUUUUUUCUUAUUUUGAAUGUAAAAAUUUUCUUGUCAAAUUUUAAGUUUGUUUCUUAAAAUUUUUUCUUCCAAAUUUUUCUUGUCAAAUUUUUUUUGCCUCUCGACUUUUUUCCUUGAAAAUUUUUUCAGUAAAACUUUUAUCAGAAAACAACAAAAAAAAUUACUAAACAAAGAAAAACGACGAAAAAAAAUUUAAAAGAAAAAAAAAGUCGAAAGAUCGACCAUACGGCGGUAAACUAGCGGCGCCCUGCGGCGGGGAGGAAAGGAUUACCAAAAUUAGCUACUGAUUGGUUGAGCCACCUCGCCUCCUGAUUGGCUUAGCUUCAUGAUUUGCUGCGCCUGACCAAAAUUAGCAGCGGGUACAGGGCGGGCGGGUAUGAAAGAGGCACGGUGACAAAACAAAUUAUGAAUUUGGGCAGAAUCAUUCUGGAACAUGCUGUUUUUUUUUUCCACCAAUCCCUGUCAAGCACCCAGUCCUUAAUGUGGGCCAUUAAAAGGCGUUUUGUGAGAGGGUGAGUAGAUUAAUUUUUGGUGAAAAUUGUACUCAAUUCUUUUAACUUUUAUAUUAUUAUAUAUUAUUAUUAUUAUAGUAUAUAUAAGAAAAAUGAAAUAUAUAUUAUUAUUAUAGUAUAUAUAAGAAAAAUGAAAUAUCAUCUAUCAUCUAUACUAUAAAGGAUGAAAGAAUUAGAUACAAUUCUCACAAAGAUAAAUCUACCCAUACCCCUCACAAAACAUCUUUUUCAGGCCCACGUGGAAGGAUUUGGUGCUUGACAGGAUUUGAUGGGAGGCAAAAACUGCAUCAGGAAAAAUGAUUCCGCCCAAAACCCCAAUUUUUUUUCACCGCGCGCCUCAUACCCGGCCGCCUGUACCUAGGGCUCGCGACACCGCCUCCCCCGCGGUAAUCCCCCACGGUCGCGCCUCCCCCAUCGCGCCUUCCCCCACCAUCACCGGCAGCGCUUUCCUUUUGCUUCCACGGACUCCUCAAAUUCCUCCCACGGUCCCAUCGUCACAUCCGGAUCGCGCGGCUGCCACCUUGGGUCGACGCCGCCGUCCUCGCCAUGCCGGCCGCCAUCACGCGGAGGCCACCGGGCGCUGCACGGGCGGUCCGCCGACUGCGGAACAGACGCCUAGGCCACCGGCGCUCGGUCCAGUGCGACCCUAGGAGGGGAGCCGAGGUGGGGUGCGGGCUGCAGCUGUGCGUUGCAAAAGACCCUUCUGUUCGCCGCCGUCGGCCGGCACGGAUGAUGGCAGCGGCGAUGAACACCUGUUCGACGGCAUCCGCUUCUUCCUCAUCGGAUUCGAGGGCGACAUCGUGCCCCAGUACCAUUCGGAGAUGGAGCGGCGUCGCGGCACCGACGCCAGGAUGUCGGACAAUAUCUUGAAGCUACCCACAAGGAGUUAAUGGAAUUGAGUUCAAAUCGUUUGGAGGAAAUUAGGAGACUGCACAAAGAGAGAAUCGAAACUUUGAACAAGUUAGCUACAUUUCAGGUUUACAGUAUUACCCAACACAUUGUGUGAUUGAAGGUUAGGCCUUGUAAUGUUGAAUUCUACAUGACGUUUUUACCCCCCUUUUUUUGGUUGCUUCCAAAAUAUACUGACAGAUUUCAAAAGCAUCCUGUUCUUCCAAAGCUUUUCAGCUUGUUAAUGACCAACUUCAGAAGUCUCAAGCAGAGUUGGAUGAUCACAAAUCAUUGUUAGAAAAAUUACAGGUUGAUAUGGAUAGCUUUGUUUGGCAAGAAAGGCAAUUUAAUAAAAAAAUUGAUCUGACUGAAAUACCCAAGAUGGUUUUUGCAUACUAUGUUUCUAGGAUUGCUGAUCUUGAGAAGGAUGUCCAGAAACUAUGUAAUGAAAAGAAUAUGCUGGUGCUGAAAUUUGAAGAGGCUUCGAGAGAACCUGGUCGGAACCAAGUUAUCUCAAAAUUUAGAGCUGUGGUGUCAUCCCUACCAGAAGAAAUGGAUGAUAUUCAAAUGGAACUGUCCAAACUGUAAUGGCUUGUCAAUGACCAAGUAAACAGGCAAGAUGGUCUUCUGAAA